rnacentral:rRNA from 1 species
UACAGAGGGUGCGAGCGUUAAUCGGAAUUACUGGGCGUAAAGCGUGCGUAGACGGUUAUUUAAGUCAGAUGUGAAAGCCCCGGGCUCAACCUGGGAAUUGCAUUUGAGACUGAAUAGCUAGGGUGCGGUAGAGGGAAGCGGAAUUUCCGGUGUAGCGGUGAAAUGCGUAGAUAUCGGAAGGAACAUCAGUGGCGAAAGCGGCUUGCUGGGCUUGGUCUGACGCUGAGGCGCGAAAGCGUGGGGAGCGAACAGG